rnacentral:rRNA from 1 species
AGCGAACGCUGGCGGCAGGCCUAACACAUGCAAGUCGAACGAAGUCUUCGGACUUAGUGGCGGACGGGUGAGUAACACGUGGGAACGUGCCUUUAGGUUCGGAAUAACUCAGGGAAACUUGUGCUAAUACCGAAUGUGCCCUUCGGGGGAAAGAUUUAUCGCCUUUAGAGCGGCCCGCGUCUGAUUAGCUAGUUGGUGGGGUAAUGGCCCACCAAGGCUACGAUCAGUAGCUGGUCUGAGAGGAUGACCAGCCACAUUGGGACUGAGACACGGCCCAAACUCCUACGGGAGGCAGCAGUGGGGAAUCUUGCGCAUGGGCGAAAGCCUGACGCAGCCAUGCCGCGUGGAUGAUGAAGGUCUUAGGAUUGUAAAAUCCUUUCACCGGUGAAGAUAAUGACUGUAGCCGGAGAAGAAGCCCCGGCUAACUUCUUGCCAGCCGCCGCGGUAACAC